rfam:Perkinsus marinus ATCC 50983 gcontig_1104296788864, whole genome shotgun sequence.
GACAGUUUGGCCGAGUGGUCUAAGGCGCUGGCUUCAGGCGCCAGUCCGCAAGGGCGUGGGUUCGAAUCCCACAGCUGUCA